GAGAUGCAAGAAGAAGCUUGGUUAGUGUUUUGGUGUGAAAUAUGACUAGAUGUCAUGUGUAUGAUUGAGUAUAAGAAGUAGAACCACAAGUGGAUCU
rnacentral:sRNA from 1 species